UGAGUUGGUUGCAGUCCCAGGAGCCUGAUGUUAAUGAGGCUGCCAGGAUGAAAUACUCCACAACUGUUGGGGAUCCAAAUUCGGGUCUCACCCUAACAGAACUGAUCCAAGAACAUCACAGCUUUUGAAGUCGAUUGGCACAGAUCAAGACCAAGAUUUGGCCCUGUGUCUGUAUUAAGUAGAGGAGCUUGGUGAUAAUUGCGGACUGAACCCUCGGGCUGCGGUCAUAUAUGAGAACUUGGUCCUCGCGGUCCCCUUUGCCAGGAUGUUCCCAUUGCUUCAUGUUUCAGUAAACAAAGGAAUUUGUGACCAACUAUGUUUUCUUUCUUAAUUUAAUUCUUCUAAGUUGACUUUCCUUUCCUCGAUGCUAGUUGUCUGUAGCUUUUCACUCUGUUCCUUAUAUUCUCAGCCUCUGAACAGCCCUAGGUAAGGAUUAUGCUGGCAUCCCCCCUUUUCCUGUACAGUGGAAGCCCCUCUUAAUCUUACUUUCCUUAGGAGUUGAGCCCUUCUCCCUGCCUUCCUGCAGCAUCUUCUUUCCCUUUAAAAUGACCAUGUAGUGGCAAGCAGCCUUUAACUCUUCUGUUAGUUCUGGACUCUUUAACAUUGAAGCUAGUCUUCUGAAGUUGCUAGGACCAUUGGGAUUUUGUUCUUGUUUUGGUUUGAUUUUGUUUUGUUUUCGGUUUUGUCUGACCUGUGAUCGUGGUACAGCAUUUGCUGAAAUUUAGCCUUGUUUUAUUCCACUCCCCCAUAUUUUUUUUGAAAAAAAAAAAAUAAAUGUUUCUAACACUUAAUCUUUUCUUAACUGAGUGACCAUUAUUUACCACUACUGUCUUCUGAUUCUUAACUAGUUGUGCCUGAGCUACAAAAUUCACAUGUGUGAACGCCUGAAGUGUACAAGGAAAAACUGAGCACAGCAAUAUGGUUUCAGAGGUUAGCUAGAAUCUUGAAACACUGGAUCAUUCACUCUUCUUUUCCUCUUUCUGUAUAUUUUGAGACAAAUUGUCCCUAAUGUAGCCCUGCUGGACCUAGAACAUGCUAUGUAGAACAGACCAGUCUCAUACUUGUGUUGAUACUCCUGCCUCCCAAGUCUUGGGAGUAGACAUGAGCCAUCAUUUCUAGAUGUUUAUCCUUUGUUAAUUGGGGCUGGGAGUGCAGAGCACUGAAGAGAUGGCUGAGCAGCGAAGAGCCUGGACUGCUCUUCCAGGAGACAGGUUCAACUUCCAGUACAUAUACUGGUGGCUCACAACUAUCUUAUUUCAGGGAUUCGAUGUCUUUUUCUGACCUCCAAGAGUAGGUGCAACAUGAAUGCGGGAAAACAUCCAUAUACAUAAAUUUAAAAUCUCAAAAGUAAAACUUAAAA
rnacentral:lncRNA from 1 species